GACGAACGCUGGCGGCGUGCUUAACACAUGCAAGUCGAACGGAAAGGCCCUGCUUUUGUGGGGUGCUCGAGUGGCGAACGGGUGAGUAACACGUGAGUAACCUGCCCUUGACUUUGGGAUAACUUCAGGGAACUGGGGCUAAUAUCGGAUAGGAGCUCCUGCUGCAUGGUGGGGGUUGGAAAGUUUCGGCGGUUGGGGAUGGACUCGCGGCUUAUCCGCUUGUUGGUGGGGUAGUGGCUUACCAAGGCUUUGACGGGUAGCCGGCCUGAGAGGGUGACCGGGCACAUUGGGACUGAGAUACGGACCAGUAUGCUACGGGACGCAGCAGUGGGGAAUCUUGCACAAUGGGCGGGAGCGUGAUGCAGCAGCGCCGGGUGCGGGAUGACGGCCUUCGGGUUGUAAACCGCUUUCGCAUGUGACGAAGCGUGAGUGACGGUAAUGAGUAAAGAAGCAACGGCUAACUACGUG
rnacentral:rRNA from 1 species